rnacentral:rRNA from 1 species
GACGAACGCUGGCGGCGUGCUUAACACAUGCAAGUCGAGCGGUAAGGCCCUUUCGGGGGUACACGAGCGGCGAACGGGUGAGUAACACGUGGGUGACCUGCCCUUAGCUCUGGGAUAAGCCUGGGAAACUGGGUCUAAUACCGGAUAUGACUCCAUAACGCAUGUUGUGGGGUGGAAAGCCUUGUGCGGCUAGGGAUGGGCCCGCGGCCUAUCAGCUUGUUGGUGGGGUGAUGGCCUACCAAGGCGACGACGGGUAGCCGGCCUGAGAGGGCGACCGGCCACACUGGGACUGAGACACGGGCCCAGACUCCUACGGGAGGCAGCAGGUGGGGAAUCUUGCGCAAUGGGCGAAAGCCUGACGCAGCGACGCCGCGU